AGAAUACCUUCCUGCAUUUCUACCAAAUAUGUUUCUGACGGCAAAAAAACCGAGAGUGGGGACUCACCUGAAGAUGCUAAAAAUCAAGGAAUGGUAAGGAGCAAAGAAGAAAAAAUGGAGUAAGUCUGCAAGGAACAGUCCAACCAAAGACUCAAAAUCCAGUGCCAAUGGAGUACAGACAGUAAAAUGCUCAGUUCUAUCUGAGCAAUUAAAAUGAAGUGUGAUCAUCAA